GCUCUUUGCAAUCGGAUUUGGCGUCCCUAUAUCGGUCCUGCCGGGUUCGCCCGGCUAUGACGAUAAAUUGUGGCGUGCAAUAGACGCAGCGGACCCGGGGGCAGUACCCGGCGGCUCCACCAUAAUUGGUGGCCAGAACCGAAAGGAUUUCUGGACACCGUUUCUGACGGGGCCGAACCAGGAUCGACGUGUGUUGAAAAGCGCUUCUUUCGUUCGGAAUGGGACCACCGCGACGGCCCAUACACACAAGUGCCAACGAUAACGAAGCACUCGCUAUUGCGGCGUAAUCCCAAGACCUAACGGUCUAAGAUUACUCUAAAAUGCGCGGUUGGACCGCACCGGGCAACAGAAGCGGAUUCCAGCGGUACGGGGGGCACCGGGCAACAGAAGCUCCCCACU
rnacentral:tmRNA from 1 species